rnacentral:rRNA from 1 species
AACGAACGCUGGCGGCAUGCCUAACACAUGCAAGUCGAACGAGACCUUCGGGUCUAGUGGCGCACGGGUGCGUAACGCGUGGUAACCUGCCCUUAGGUUCGGAAUAACUCCCCGAAAGGGGUGCUAAUACCGGAUAAUGUCUUCGGACCAAAGAUUUAUCGCCAUUGGAUGUGCCCGCGUUGGAUUAGAUAGUUGGUAGUGUAAAAGCCUACCAAGGCGACGAUCCAUAGCUGGUCUGAGAGGAUGAUCAGCCACACUGGGACUGAGACACGGCCCAGACUCCUACGGGAAGCAGAAGUGGGGAAUAGUGGACAAUGGGCGAAAGACUGAUCCAGCAAUGCCGCGUGAGUGAUGAAGGCCUUAGGGUUGGAAAGCUCUUUUAACCGGGAUGAUAAUGACAGUACCGGGAGAAUAAGCGCCGGCUAACUACGUG